GUAGCGUAUUUUAAAGAAAAAGGGUUUCCGUGUGGGAAACAGUUUUGAAAGGGUCUUAUUGGUUUUCAUGACUCUUAGUAUUUCAAAACGAGUUUCUGGGUAGGAAACAUUUUAAACUAAUAGAUAUGAAUUUAUGAAUAUUUGUGAUGAAAUAAAUAUGGUUGUGAAUGGUGUAUGAUUAUCUGUGGAUGUUCAUAUGUGUGGUUGUAUUUGGUAUAGUAAAAUUGUAUCUUGUAUUUGUGCGACGCCGUG
rnacentral:lncRNA from 1 species